UGGGGAAUAUUGGGCAAUGGAGGCAACUCUGACCCAGCAACGCCGCGUGAGGGAAGAAGGUUUUCGGAUUGUAAACCUCUGUCCUAGGGGACGAAGAAAGUGACGGUACCAUAGGAGGCAGCCCCGGCUAACUACGUGCCAGCAGCCGCGGGAAUACGUGGGGGGCAAGAGUUGUCCGGAAUUACUGGGCGUAAAGGGUGCGUAGGCGGUAUGGUAAGUUAGAUGUGAAAUCCCCGGGCUUAACUCGGGAUUUGCAUUUAAAACUGUCAGACUAGAGUGCAGUAGAGG
rnacentral:rRNA from 1 species